AUCCUAUCCUUCCCUGAUGUAUAAACUUUGGCACCUUUUGGAGCAUUGCAUGUACUGUAACCUGCCCUGUUCACUGCUACCACAUUGUGUGCUGCAGGACUAUAGUUGAACACAAUUAUGUCACCAGCCCUAAAGCGCUUUCCUUUAGGCCAACCAGCAACAUUAAAGGUCCAACCUUUAGAAUCUCCAACAGUAAAGGUUGCUGCACUACCCACCUCAAAUUGGAGCACCAAAAUGGACAAAAACACGAAGACCACCACUGCACUGCCUCUUCCCUUAGCCAUUUUCUUGAAGAUCUAAGAAAGUAAC
rnacentral:misc_RNA from 1 species